rnacentral:rRNA from 1 species
AUGCAAUUGCUAAGACAAGCCAUAGGAUCACCAACAGGUUUAGCCAUAUGCGCUGAUGCUGGCCAAGCAGUGAUGACAGGGGUAAAAGAAGUGUUCCCGGAGGCAGAACAUAGAGAAUGUAUGUUCCACUUGGUGAGCAACUUCAAGAAGAAGUUUACUGGAAAAGUAUUUGAUGACCACCUAUGGGCAGCUGCUUACUCAUGGAACCCAUAUAUAUUUGACAAGAGUUGGGCUGCAAUGGAGGCAGUAAAGCCAGCCGCAACAACAUAUAUUAGGAAGUGGCACAAUAGGUUGUGGUCUAGGAGUCAGUUCUCGACCAUAUGCAAGGUGGACUAUGUAACCAACAACUUGGCGGAGUGCUUUAACAAUUGGAUCAAGCACCACAAGUCAUUGAACUUGGACGAUUUCUUGGACAAGGCGAGGUAGAUGAUUAUGAUCUUGUGGAAUGAUAGGAGAAAAGUAGCAAAGAAGUUAGAUGGAUUGAUUCUACCCCACAUAAUGAAGAAGUUAAACGCAUUGACUAGAGAAUUCAACUUGGAGGUGGUAGAAUGCUCAGAAGAAGUGGCUGAAGUGGUUGCAUUAGGAGGCAGCGGUUUUAGGUUUGUCGUUAACUUGCAGGAUCGAACAUGUUCAUGUCGACAAUGGCAAGUUUGUGGUCUUCCUUGCAAACAUGCUCUUGCAUUCAUCACAUCACUUAGCGAUGCUCACAUAAAGAAUUACGUUGAUUUGUAUUAUUCCACUGAAAAAUUCAGAGCAGCUUAUUCCAACCUGAUCCCUGCUAUGCCUGACAAGAGCCAAUGGCCUGAAUCUGACCAUGGAUUUUUCAUGCAUCCACCACUACUUAAAGCUACAGCUGGCAGGCCUAAAACUGAGAGAUAUAAAGGUUGUAGUGACAAGAAAAGAAAAAAGGGCAAGCACUUAUGUCCAAUUUGUAAGGAAUAUGGGCAUCAUUGGCACAACUGUAAGAAGGGUAACCCUGAUGACAUUGCUGCAAUGUUGGCUAUUAGGUAA